rnacentral:rRNA from 1 species
GCGGCGCUAUGGACAAGUUCCUUGGAACAGGACAUCGUAGAGGGUGAAAAUCCCGUACUUGCCAUGGAUGUACCGUGCUUUGCGAUACGUGCUCUAAGAGUCGAGUUGUUUGGGAUUGCAGCUCAAAAUGGGUGGUAGACUCCAUCUAAAGCUAAAUAUCGGGGAGAGACCGAUAGCGAACAAGUACCGUGAGGGAAAGAUGAAAAGCACUUUGGAAAGAGAGUUAAAAGUACGUGAAAUUGUCGAAAGGGAAGCGCUUGAAGUCAGCCAUGCCGCUCAGGACUCAGCCUGGCUUUUGCUUGGUGUAUUUCCUGGGUAGCAAGUCAGCAUUGGUUUGGAUCGUCGGAGAAGCAUAGUCGGAAUGUGGCGCCCUCGGGCGUGUUAUAGCCUUCUAUUGGAUACGACGAUCUAGACCAAGGAACGCAGCGCGCCUUAUGGCGGGUCUUCGGACACCUCGCGCU